GUGUUAGCAGCCGCGGUAAUACAGAGGGUGCAAGCGUUGUUCGGAAUCAUUGGGCGUAAAGCGCGUGUAGGCGGCCAUCUAAGUUUGAUGUGAAAGCCCAGGGCUUAACCCUGGAAGUGCACUGAAUACUGGAUGGCUAGAAGAUAUGAGGGGAGUUUGGAAUUCAUGGUGUAGGGGUGAAAUCCGUAGAUAUCAUGAGGAACAUCAGUGGCGAAGGCGAAACUCUGGCAUAUUUCUGACGCUGAGACGCGAAAGCGUGGGGAGCAAACAGGAUUAGAAACCCGUGUAGUCC
rnacentral:rRNA from 1 species